CAAAGGUAGCAUAAUCAUUAGUCUUUUAAUUGGAGGCUGGAAUGAAUGGUUUGACGAAACAAUAACUGUCUCGGGAUAAUAAAUUGAAUUUUAUUUUUGAGUNAAAAAGCUUAAAUGAUAACAGGGGACGAGAAGACCCUAUAGAUCUUAAUAUUGUUAUAUUAAAAUAUGUGUUUAGGGGUAUUUGAUAUAUUUUAUUAUGUAAUGUUUUGUUGGGGUGACAAGGGAAUAAUUUAACUUCUUUAUAAUUUACUGAGAUGG
rnacentral:rRNA from 1 species